UACUCUUUGAAGCUUGCAAUUUGUAUUCAUCAAAGACGGCUCAUUCUAUCCCCUAGAAGCAUCCACUGCUGUUGACAUCUCACUGCUUGGGUCUCUUGCCAGGAAAUUUACUAGGAGACACCAACAUAUACUGUUAGAUAAUAGCAAUUAUUAUUAUCUAAUAGCAGUCUUAUAGAAAGCUCUGUAAUAGUAAUCUCAUAGAAAGCAGAUGAUAUUCCAGUGUUCUUUGCAUGUGUCAUAACAUUUUGUGGAGAAGUGGAUAUUUUGAAUAAUAUGACAACUUUGGAAAUCAGAUUCUCCUCCUUCUCCAGAGUUUGUUGUUGCUGCUUGUUGUAGUUUGUUGUUGUUUAACACUUUAAUGGUUUAGACACUUCUCUAAACCAUUUUUGUUAAAGCUAUAUUCCUUGUCAUUGGCCACUGAAGUUUUGUUAUUUUAGCUUAGUGGUCAGCAAGUGAUUUGAAGAGAUUUCCUGAAAUAGUGAGAGCCAAAAGUAUAAAAUACUCUCCCAGUCUUUGCAGGUUGGCUUUGCAUGAGGAACUCCUUCAAUGCUUGGCCAGGUUGUUUAAAACUCUGCCUUAACCUUCACUCCCUCCUUGUGUGGAGCCUAAAAGUUAGAUAGAUGUUAAAGA
rnacentral:lncRNA from 1 species